rnacentral:rRNA from 1 species
UACGUAGGGGGCAAGCGUUGUCCGGAUUUAUUGGGCGUAAAGAGCUCGUAGGCGGUUUGGUAAGUCUGGUGUGAAAUCUCCACGCUCAACGUGGAGGGGCCACCCGAUACUGCCAUGACUGGAGUCCGGUAGAGGAGUGUGGAAUUCCCGGUGUAGCGGUGAAAUGCGCAGAUAUCGGGAGGAACACCGAUGGCGAAGGCAGGUCUCUGGGCCACUACUGACGCUGAGAAGUGAAAGCAUGGGGAGCGAACAGG